CCUCGUUUCCAUGGAGAUGGGGCCGCGAACGGAGGACACAUCCGAGUAUCCUUCGCAGCCUUCAGUAUCCCAGCAUGCACCGCGCGGCGCCAGUCACAUGUUCAAAAACACAGAGCAAAAAGCCGGUCCCGAGAGCGGAGAAAAACAUCCUCCUGUAUGAGGACACGACACACUGCAGGGGCCACAGAACUGUUGACUGACAAGAUGCUUGUGAUUCAUAAAAUGGGUCAAAUGCAGAUGACAAAGUAAAGCCAACACUGAGCUGGAGGUGCUGACCCAGACUCCUGCCAACGAUUAGGUUUUCACUGCAGGACAGAACUUUG